rnacentral:rRNA from 1 species
AAAUGAAUAGACGGGGGCCCGCACAAGCAGCGGAGCAUGUGGUUUAAUUCGAAGCAACGCGAAGAACCUUACCAGGUCUUGACAUCCAGGUAAACUCAUAGAGAUAUGAGGUGUGCUUGCACAAUCUGAGACAGGUGGUGCAUGGUUGUCGUCAGCUCGUGUCGUGAGAUGUUGGGUUAAGUCCCGCAACGAGCGCAACCCUUGUGAUUAGUUACUAACAGGUAAUGCUGAGGACUCUAAUAAGACUGCCGGGGACAACUCGGAGGAAGGUGGGGACGACGUCAAAUCAUCAUGCCCCUUAUGACCUGGGCUACACACGUGCUACAAUGGCCACUACAGAGAGAAGCGAAUUCGAGAGGAAGAGCGGAUCUCAAAAAAGUGGUCCCAGUUCGGAUUGUGGGCUGCAACCCGCCCACAUGAAGUAGGAGUUGCUAGUAAUCGCGAAUCAGCAUGUCGCGGUGAAUACGUUCCCGGGCCUUGUACACACCGCCCGU